GAUGAAGAACGCAGCGAAAUGCGAUAAGUAAUGUGAAUUGCAGAAUUCAGUGAAUCAUCGAAUCUUUGAACGCACAUUGCGCCCCCUGGUAUUCCGGGGGGCAUGCCUGUUCGAGCGUCAUUUCACCACUCAAGCCUCGCUUGGUAUUGGGCAACGCGGUCCGCCGCGUGCCUCAAAUCGUCCGGCUGGGUCUUCUGUCCCCUAAGCGUUGUGGAAACUAUUCGCUAAAGGGUGUUCGGGAGGCUACGCCGUAAAACAACCCCAUUUCUAAGGUUGACCUCGGAUCAGGUAGGGAUACCCGCUGAACUUAAGCAUAUCAAUAAGCAGAGGA
rnacentral:misc_RNA from 1 species